AGUGCACAUGGUGGAUGCCUUGGCAGUCAGAGGCGAUGAAAGACGUGAUAGCCUGCGAUAAGCGUCGGUGAGGUGGCAAUAUCCUGUGACCCGGCGAUUUCUGAAUGGGGAAACCCAACCAACAUAAGUUGGUUAUUACAUAGUUUACUGUGUAAGGCAAACCGGGAGAAGUGAAACAUCUCAGUACCCCGAGGAAAAGACAUCAAUUGAGAUUCCCCAAGUAGCGGCGAGCGAACGGGGAGGAGCCGAUCAAUUUUACAGUAGCAAAAUGGCGUGGGAAAGCCAACCAUAGUAGGUGAUAGUCCUGUAUGCGAAACUGUUUAUGAGACAUAUUAAGUAGGGCGAGACACGUGAAAUCUUGUCUGAAGAUGGGGGGACCAUCCUCCAAGGCUAAAUACUCCUGACUGACCGAUAGUGAACCAGUACCGUGAGGGAAAGGCGAAAAGAACCCCUGUUAGGGGAGUGAAAUAGAACCUGAAACCGUGUGCAUACAAGCAGUCGGAGCGGACUUGUUCCGUGACGGCGUACCUUUUGUAUAAUGGGUCAGCGACUUAUAUUCUGUAGCAAGGUUAACCGUUUAGGGGAGCCGUAGGGAAACCGAGUCUUAAUAGGGCGAUUAAGUUGCAGGGUAUAGACCCGAAACCGAGUGAUCUAUCCAUGAGCAGGUUGAAAGUGCCGUAACAGGCACCGGAGGACCGAACCCACUGUCGUUGAAAAGCCAGGGGAUGACUUGUGGAUAGGGGUGAAAGGCUAAUCAAACUCGGUGAUAGCUGGUUCUCCCCGAAAGCUAUUUAGGUAGCGCCUCGGACGAAUACCAUUGGGGGUAGAGCACUGUUUCGGCUAGGGGGUCAUCCCGACUUACCAAACCGAUGCAAACUCCGAAUACCGAUGAGUAAUAUCCGGGAGACAGACGGCGGGUGCUAACGUCCGUCGUCAAGAGGGAAACAACCCAGACCGCCAGCUAAGGCCCCAAAUUCCUAGUUAAGUGGGAAACGAUGUGGGAAGGCACAGACAGCUAGGAGGUUGGCUUAGAAGCAGCCACCCUUUAAAGAAAGCGUAAUAGCUCACUAGUCGAGUCGGCCUGCGCGGAAGAUGUAACGGGGCUCAAACUAGGAGCCGAAGCUGCGGAUUUAAUUGUUUCAAUUAAGUGGUAGGGGAGCGUUGUGUAAGCCUGUGAAGGUGUAUCGUAAGGUAUGCUGGAGGUAUCACAAGAGCGAAUGCUGACGUGAGUAACGACAAAACGGGUGAAAAGCCCGUUCGCCGGAAGACCAAGGGUUCCAGUCCAACGUUAAUCGGGGCUGGGUGAGUCGACCCCUAAGGCGAGGCCGAAAGGCGUAGUCGAUGGGAAAUCGGUUAAUAUUCCGAUACUUGUUUAUGAUGCGAUGGAGGGACGGAGAAGGUUAUGUCAGCCUGGCGUUGGUUGUCCAGGUGGAAGGAUGUAGUUAGGUUUAGUAGGCAAAUCCGCUAGACUAUUAAUGAGAUCUGAUAGCAAGCCAGUUUACUGGCGAAGUGGCAAAUACCCUGCUUCCAGGAAAAGCUUCUAAGCGAUAGUCAUAAAGAAAUCGUACCCGAAACCGACACAGGUGGUCAGGUAGAGAAUACCAAGGCGCUUGAGAGAACUCUGCUGAAGGAACUAGGCAAAAUGGUACCGUAACUUCGGGAGAAGGUACGCUGCCGAUGGUGAUGGAACUUGCUUCCUGAGCUGUUGGCAGUCGCAGAUACCAGGCUGCUGCAACUGUUUAUUAAAAACACAGCACUCUGCAAACACGAAAGUGGACGUAUAGGGUGUGAUGCCUGCCCGGUGCUGGAAGGUUAAUUGAUGGGGUUAGCGUAAGCGAAGCUCUUGAUCGAAGCCCCAGUAAACGGCGGCCGUAACUAUAACGGUCCUAAGGUAGCGAAAUUCCUUGUCGGGUAAGUUCCGACCUGCACGAAUGGCAUAAUGAUGGCAGCGCUGUCUCCAGCAGAGACUCAGUGAAAUCGAAAUCGCAGUGAAGAUGCUGUGUACCCGCGGCUAGACGGAAAGACCCCGUGAACCUUUACUACAGCUUUACAUUGAACUUUGACCUAACUUGUGUAGGAUAGGUGGGAGGCUUUGAAGUAGGGACGCCAGUUCCUAUGGAGCCAACCUUGAAAUACCACCCUGGUUAUGUUGGGGUUCUAACUUAGAUAUAACAGUAUCAAGGACAAUGUAUGGUGGGUAGUUUGACUGGGGCGGUCUCCUCCUAAAGAGUAACGGAGGAGUACGAAGGUGCGCUCAGAACGGUCGGAAAUCGUUCAAAGAGUAUAAAGGCAAAAGCGCGCUUAACUGCGAGACCCACAAGUCGAGCAGGUACGAAAGUAGGUCUUAGUGAUCCGGUGGUUCUGUAUGGAAGGGCCAUCGCUCAACGGAUAAAAGGUACUCUGGGGAUAACAGGCUGAUACCGCCCAAGAGUUCAUAUCGACGGCGGUGUUUGGCACCUCGAUGUCGGCUCAUCUCAUCCUGGGGCUGAAGCAGGUCCCAAGGGUAUGGCUGUUCGCCAUUUAAAGAGGUACGCGAGCUGGGUUUAGAACGUCGUGAGACAGUUCGGUCCCUAUCUACCGUGGGCGUUGGAAAUUUGAGAGGAUCUGCUCCUAGUACGAGAGGACCAGAGUGGACGAACCUCUGGUGUUCCGGUUGUUUCGCCAGAAGCAUCGCCGGGUAGCUACGUUCGGAUGGGAUAACCGCUGAAAGCAUCUAAGCGGGAAGCCCACCUCAAGAUAAGAUUUCCCUAAAGAGCCGUUGU
rnacentral:rRNA from 1 species